AAAUAGAUUACUGAAGACAAUACUCAAGAAAGGAAACUAUUCUUGAGGCCUGAUAAAUCUUUUUUUUUUUUUUUGAGGCCUGAUAAAUCUUAAACACAGAGUAGGAUCGACAUAUCUAUUAUCUCCAGGGCAGGUUUAGCUGAGAUCUUAGCAGAGGCUGAAAAUGGAGCUGGUUCUUUAUCCAUGUCAUUCUGUUUGGGGAUGUAAAACAUGCACUUAAAAUUAAUUAAAGAAGUUUAGUGAAAUAUAUCUUGCUUAAAUUGUGCAAAAUCAGAAUUCAUAGCAUUGUUCGCAGCUUUUACCAAUAGAAGAACUUUGAUUAUUUCUUCCUUUAAAGAUACAGAGCCCCCAAAAGUUCGGUUUCAUUCUGCCCAUAUGUUUUGCAAUUAGAUGAGAUAAAAUUGCUUUUAUACUGGUAAUAUAACAGCUGUUCUAUAUGAUAUGCUUGCCAGGGAGACAGCUCAGCUCUGAAAGGAGGGGAAAUUCAUUCGGUUGGAAAAAGCAAUGUAUUUCUGUGUGGUCAUAGGGAAAAUGAUAAAGAGUAGGAAUAUUUUCAACCUGACUAGAGAAUAUUAAAUGAUCCUACUUAGUAAAUUGUAGACUCUGUAGAUAACUCAUUUUUGUGACUUUAGUUUCAGUCUUAGAUGCUUCCUAGAAACUGGCAUAUUACCAGGCAUCUUACUAUAUUUUUAUUAUUUGUUUAAAAAAAUCUAGUGCUUUUAAUUUGAUGUAUGUGAGCAAAAAGAAGAGAUUAUGAGUAUCAUUGUUAAUUAUAGGGAGAACAUAAUAUUUUCUAAUUCCUUUUAAUUUUGGAAAUGAUUUUUAAAGGUGUAAUCCUUAAAAAAUAUUCUAGGGAGGGAUGCCUGAGGGGUUCAGUGACUGUUCAACAGACCCGUGAGCGUCUGCCUUCCGCUCAGGGCGUGAUCCUGGGGUCCGGGAUCGAGUCCCGCAUGUCGGGCUCCCUGCAGGGAGCCUGCUUCUCCCUCUGCCUGUGUCUCUGCCUCUCUUGCUCGCUCUCUGUGUGUCUCUCAUGAAUAGAUAAAUAAAAAAAUUGUUCUGGGGAAAGUUUACAUGUUGUCAUCUCUGAAGGAAAUUGAAUGGACUGUUGCUUUUGGGUCCUCUUCAGUCUCAUCUAUCAUUUUUAGGAUGUUAUGUUCAGUUUGGGAAGUAUUAAUGAAAAAAAUAAGGAAAAAAGUAUUUCAACAAACUUACCCUGUUUUUAUUUGUGGAUUGAAGUUUGAUUAGAGGAAGGCAUUGGACUUUUUCUGCUGUAGGUUUCUCAUUUGAUUUUAUAGUCAUUGUAAUCCUUCAGUAUGUUUUUACUUAUUCAUUGUGUAUGAAAUGCAUUAACAAUAUAGCCCCACCAUCCAUUGAUGUUGUGUGGGUUAAUGAAUAGUUGUAAAGCGUACCAAAAAUACAAAGCAAUCUAGCUGUUGGGUGUUAUUAUGUUGAAUUGUUGGUGUAUUGCAUGCAAACCUAUCCUGUUCAACUGGUUUUAGUUUCUAAGUUAGUUUGUUGCUUCAACUUGUCCACAGAAGCAGAGCCGAAUGGUUUAGCUAAUCAGUAGAGCAGUCAGAACUGAAUUCCAGUCUGCCUUUCUAUUCACUUUGUAGGUCCCUGAACAUCUAUUUUUUAAAUGGCUCUGGGACUUAGCUUCUCUGACUAGAAGAUGAAGCCUGUUCCUUACGCUCAGUCUUCCAAGAUUUUUUGAGAAGUCUCACGUGCAGAUUUCUGUGGGCUUUUCUCAAAUGCAAUGGCUUUAUAGAAUUAGAACUGUUUUCUGGUAUUCUUUCCUGAUAGCUUUUGACUAAACGCAACAAAGAAGCAGAUGCAUUUAUAAUGUGGCUUCUUUACGCAAAGUAUAAUUUUAUACUGUUUUGUAAUUAUAUAUUUGUAUAAUUUAUAGACAGUAAUGGUAUUUUUUUAAAGUUUGGGAUGCUUCAGUAUUAUUUUUCUUCAUAUACUACCUUGAGAAAAUAAAAUAAUCUUUAUCUUAUAUUAAACUUAUAAAUAAGUUGCUCUUUUGUACAUGUUUAAUAUUACUUUUGGCUGAGCUGUGUAGAAAGGGAUUCCCUUAACCUUUUUUUACGAUUAUAAAAAUAAUGUGUUCAUUUUAGAAAAUGCAAAGAAGUGUAAAGACAAAAAAUGAACUCAGAUAACUAUAAAGUUAACAUUUUAGUGAAAACUAGAGAAUUUUUUUACAUCUAUAUUUACUUUAUUCCCUUCUCUGUCAUUGAGAUAAUUCUAUAUGGAUGUAUUAUUGCUCUGAUACUGCUCUUAAACAUUGUGUGUGUGUGUGUAUGUGUGUGUGUGUGUGUGUGUGUAUAUACAUAUAUAUAUUUAUAUGACGAUUUUAUUUAUUUGUUUAUUUGAGAGAGAGGUGCGAAAGAGAGCGUGAGCAGUAGGCAGGGGGAGAAGCAGCUGUGGGGCUGGAUCCCAGGGCCCUGAGAUCAUGACCUGAGCUGAAGGCAGACACUUAGCUGACUGAGCCACACAGGCACCCCUUAAACAUAAUAUAUUUCAAGUAUCUUUAACGUUUUAAAAUGGGAAAUCUUUCAAAUUGAAGUUGAAAGUAGUAGUAUUAGUGAUAUUACUGUAAUCUGAAUGAUCAAAAUCUGAAUGCUAAGUAACUGUAUUAGAUGCUUCCUGAUAAUUACAGAAAAAAAUAACUAAACGAUAAAGUUUUUUUAAUCUAUGAAAAGCCCACAGCUAAUCAUUGAGUUUAAUAUUUAAUUACUACAUACAUUGCUCUGUUUCUCACAAAAUCCCUUUUUUUUUAAAUAAAAAACAGACACGUGAGUUGGAUUUAGCACUCUUCUGAAGUCAAGUAUAUGACAGAUCAAAAUGGGAAAUAAUUCACCACAUUUAAAUUAUUUGUUAUAUCACCAAAAAGAAUGUGAAUCCAUUUUGAAUGGAGAUCUCAGAUUCCAUAUAAUGCUUUACUUGAGACUUGGUACUCCUUGUCAGAACCAAACUAGCGACUGUUUCUCAUGUGUCUGUUCUAGCACAAGCACGAUUUUUCUUGGGUUCAAGUGGUCCUCAAAAGCCCAAAGCAGUCUGGAACCAAGCCAGGCAUUUGAUAUUUUCAAAUCUAUGUUGAGGAAAGUCAAAGUGUCCAUCUGCCUGGCUCAGAUAUUGCCAAAAAAGGCCUGGAUUCUGUGCUAAAGAACAUGCCAAAAAAUUGACUCUGGCCUCCAGGAAACUGAUAUCUACCUCACAUAAUAAUCUCUGUUCUCUGAGUUUUGUGAAGAAAAGGCUAUAACUUUUAAAUCAAAGAGGUAAUGAACUAUAGUGUUAUUGAGAGAGGAUUAAAUUAAUGCACAUAAAAAACUUAGUUGUGCUUAAUAAUCAGCACGUAGUAAACCUUCAGAGUUGGCUAUCGUUAUUAUUAAUAUUGCUUUAUUACAUUCACCAUGUUUAAAAAACAGCAGAGUGAACUCUGUCAAUUCUAGAUUAAUACACGUCAGCUUCCCUGCCGUGAUCUGGGGACUGGCAACCCACUGGUAAUCAGAAGACUUGCACGUUGUCACAGAUCAACCUUUUCUAACAGGUGAUUCUAAGGUACAGGUAGGACCAAUAUGCUUGAUGCAAAAGUCUACCUCCUGUCCUGUCAAGAGUGGCCGAGGCCAAGCCAGAAUUACUCUGUGCCGUAUUGCCAGAUACACAGUAAUGGUACUGCUCGGAACUGAGCUGAAUGGAAGCUAUUUUCAAAAAGCAAAUGCAAAGAUGGUGACUCUGGGGAUUCCCUGAAGCAGCCAUUGUCCAGUUCUAGCAGGUAUGUAAUCCUCUGGGUCUUUUGUAGGUAUUGAGCUCUAGCCACAAAUGACCAGUAAAGUGAAAAUAAGACUGGGGCCUAUAGAAAGACAUGACCACUCAAUUUUACAUUGGUUGCACAUUGACAUUUUUGAAAGCAUGCCAAAUAUAACAUGCACAUACACAGCCCAAGUCACAUAAUCUCCCUGGGCUUCUAUAUGGUCAUCUGUAACAUGAGUAUAACAGUGCCAGCCUAAUAGGGUGCUUGAGUGUUGACCUAGAAUUCAAACCCACCUCUGUCUGACUUAAAAGUCUGUGUUCUUUUUCUCUUUUAACUAAGCUAUGCUGCACUGUCAAAGCAGAUAGCAGUAGCAGAAAUGAAAUAAAGCAUUCAGUGGAUACAGAACACUUUUUAGGUUCUGUUUUUGUCACCUUCCCUAGCAUCCCCCAGGAAGCCCUUAUAUUGUCCUUUUCAGCACUCAUUCUGAAUUGCACAGUGACUCUGGUUUGAUUUCAGUAGCUACUGGGAAAAUCAAAAUUAGAUCAAAGAGUGUUUCUCAGAGGUAGAUAUGGAUGUGGGGUAAGGGUGGGGAGAGGAAAUAACGGUGGAAAUUGGAUGAGACUAAACAGGUAGACACCCAUGAUAAAUGUAAAGCAGAACUAACUGUAAGACUGUCAAAUCAGGGAUCCCUGGGUGGCGCAGCGGUUUGGCGCCUGCCUUUGACCCAGGGCGCGAUCCUGGAGACCCGGGAUCGAAUUCCAUGUCGGGCUCCCGGUGCAUGGAGCCUGCUUCUCCCUCUGCCUGUGUCUCUGCCCCUCUCUCUCUCUCUCUCUCUCUCUCUCUCUGUGUGACUAUCAUAAAUUAAAAAAAAAAAAAAAAAAAAAAA
rnacentral:lncRNA from 1 species